UUCUUCAAACAUUUUUUUGAGAGGAUUAAUAUUCAACAGCAUAGUGAAUUACUCAAAGGAAAAAAAAGUAUUUUAAGUUCAUUAGACCACAUUCAUUCUGUGUCAGAAACCUAUGCUGUGUCAACUAUUUAAUCACAAUCCAAAUUUAGAGCUGAAUCCAGCUUGAAUGUUGUGUCCAUACUUGCCCCAACCGUUCAGGGUUCAACCUCUGCGGUCGUAUAAAGCUGCGCCCUGC
rnacentral:lncRNA from 1 species